UUAUGCCAGUGAUGUGUCCUUCUGUUACAGCCAUUUUUGCUGGUUUGGGAAGGAGGGCCGUGAUCCGCACUGCCCCACAUGAUCAGAUGCUGCGGAGGCAAUGUGGGACCAAAGCAUGGGUGCAUGAGGCUGGCUGAGCUACUGUUCUGAAAAAGGAGAAAGACUGGGAAAGAGCGCUGAAUCACCACCAGACCUCCUUGGACACAAACAGAGUUAAUCUCUUUCCUGGAGCCUAUCAAGCCAAGAAUUACGUGAGCAUUUAAUUGCUACUCAGAAGCUAUUUCCUA